GUGUUGGGAAGUAACGGAUUACAUGUAACGGCGUUACGUAAUCAGAUUACAAAUUAUAAGUAACUGUAAUCCGUUACAGUUACUGCGUCAGUAAGUGGUAAUCAGAUUACAGUUACUCUGCUAAAAUAAAAGGGUUACAUUGCGGUACUUUCCUAUUUUUGCUCUUCCAAUCCAACACUGACAAAACGCAAAUAACAUUUUGCGGUGAAUACGCUCUGAUAUGACAGGGAACUCUCUGUCCCUCCUCCCGUCUCGCUGCACACACACACACACAGGGAGGAGGGGCAGCGUCUCACAGCGGCUCCGCUCACACAACGAGACGAAAUUAACUGACAUUUUGGUCAACGAAUAAAAACGAGACGAAAAUGUUUGGCAGGGACGAAAUCCAAUCAGAACUGAUUUGGGUCUGUGAAAGGUAGGGACCAGUUAAGAAGAGAUCCAAUCACUGCUACUUUAGCGAAGGUGGAGUACCCGCCUCUCCUGCAGCAGCGCCGCGCGGAAUUAAACUGUCGAUACGGAGCUCGACUGGAAGUUAACUCGACAGAGUUCAGCAGGGAGAGAGGGAGAGAGAGAGAGGGGAGAGGCGAUAUAUUUCUCUUUUGACGUCGCGAAAAACAAGAUAACGUGUAAACCGCGUGGAGCGACUCCAUUACCGGUAAAAACACCACUAAUCUUUCAGCUUCUGCAGACCAGAGUCACACAGAUCUCCAUGCAGAGAUCCGCGUUUUAAUACUGAUGUUAUUUCAUGAGCUGAUGUGUUUAACUCAGCAGUGCACUAAAACACAGAACUGAUACAGAACCCUAACUCAUUAAGAUCAGAUCAUCUGUUUAGUCUCACAGUGGGAAAGAUAUAGCUAGUGUUAAAUCAGCAGCAGGUCAGAAAGGAACUCAAUAAUAUAACGAAAAUAAAACAAUAAAAUAAGUGAA